rnacentral:misc_RNA from 1 species
UACGGAGGAUCCAAGCGUUAUCCGGAAUCAUUGGGUUUAAAGGGUCCGUAGGCGGACAGUUAAGUCAGUGGUGAAAGUCUUCCGCUUAACGGGAGAACUGCCAUUGAUACUGAUUGUCUUGAGUUAUUAUGAAGUGGUUAGAAUGAGGAGGGUAGCGGUGAAAUGCAUAGAUAUUACUCAGAAUACCGAUUGCGAAGGCAGAUCACUUAUAAUACACUGACGCUGAUGGACGAAUGCGGAGGUAGCGAACAGG